rnacentral:misc_RNA from 1 species
GAUGAAGAACGUAGCGAAAUGCGAUAAGUAAUGUGAAUUGCAGAAUUCAGUGAAUCAUCGAAUCUUUGAACGCACAUUGCGCCCGCCAGUAUUCUGGCGGGCAUGCCUGUCCGAGCGUCAUUUCAACCAUCAAGCCCCGGGCUUGUGUUGGGGACCUGCGUCCGACGCAGGCCCCGAAAACCAGUGGCGGGCUCGCUGUCCACACCGAGCGUAGUAGCUAACCUCGCUCCGGAGUGGCGCGGGCGCCUGCCGUAAAACCCCCCAAUUUUACAAGGUUGACCUCGGAUCAGGUAGGAAUACCCGCUGAACUUAAGCAUAUCAAUAGCGGAGGA